rnacentral:snRNA from 1 species
AUGCUUUCUUUGGCAGCACUUAUACUAAAAUUGGAAAGAUACAGAGAAGAUUAGCAUGGCACCUGCACAAGGAUGAUAUGUAAAUUCAUGAAGUGUUCCAUAAAAAA